UCACCAGGUCAGGACACGGUAAGGAUUGACGGACUGAAGGCUCUUUCUCGAUUCCGUGGAAAGUGGUGCAUGGCCGUUUUUGGUUGGUGGAUCGAUCCGUCUGGUUAAUUCCGUUAACGAACGAGACCUCGGCACUCCGAAUAGCGCGGCGGACGUCGCGGCCUCCGGGCCGUCUUCCGCACGAGCUUCUUAGAGGGACCGUCCCCCGCCGGGGAAGGAGGUGCGAGGCAACGACAGGUCUGUGAUGCCCUUAGAUGUUCUGGGCCGCACGCGCAUUACACUGACGCGUCCAACGGGUGACUCCCGACCCGAAGGGGCCGGGGAAUCCGCAAGGCGCGUCGUGAUGGGGAUUGAACGUUGCAAUUGUUGUUCACGAACGAGGAAUUCCUAGUAGGCGCGGGUCAUCAACCCGCGCCGAUUACGUCCCUGCCCUUUGUACACACC
rnacentral:rRNA from 1 species